GAUGAACGCUGGCGGCGUGCCUAAUACAUGCAAGUCGAGCGAACGGACGAGAAGCUUGCUUCUCUGAUGUUAGCGGCGGACGGGUGAGUAACACGUGGAUAACCUACCUAUAAGACUGGGAUAACUUCGGGAAACCGGAGCUAAUACCGGAUGAUAUUUUGAACCGCAUGGUUCAAAAGUGAAAGACGGUCUUGCUGUCACUUAUAGAUGGAUCCGCGCUGCAUUAGCUAGUUGGUAAGGUAACGGCUUACCAAGGCAACGAUGCCUAGCCGACCUGAGAGGGUGAUCGGCCACACUGGAACUGAGACACGGUCCAGACUCCUACGGGAGGCAGCAGUAGGGAAUCUUCCGCAAUGGGCGAAAGCCUGACGGAGUAACGCCGCGUGAGUGAUGAAGGUCUUCGGAUCGUAAAACUCUGUUAUUAGGGAAGAACAAAUGUGUAAGUAACUGUGCACAUCUUGACGGUACCUAAUCAGAAAGCCACGGCUAACUACGUG
rnacentral:rRNA from 1 species